rnacentral:rRNA from 1 species
CUGGCUCAGGAUGAACGCUGGCGGCGUGCUAACACAUGCAAGUCGAACGGGCUUAGAUCGGAAGCUUGCUUUGAUUAAGUUAGUGGCGGACGGGUGAGUAACGCGUGGGUAACCUGCCUCGUACAGGGGGAUAGCAGCUGGAAACGGCUGGUAAAACCGCAUAAGCGCACAACUUCGCAUGAAGGAGUGUGAAAAUAUUUAUAGGUACGAGAUGGGCCCGCGUCUGAUUAGCCAGUUGGCAGGGUAACGGCCUACCAAAGCGACGAUCAGUAGCCGGCCUGAGAGGGCGGACGGCCACAUUGGGACUGAGACACGGCCCAAACUCCUACGGGAGGCAGCAGUGGGGGAUAUUGCACAAUGGGCGAAAGCCUGAUGCAGCGACGCCGCGUUGAGUGAAGAAGUAUUUCGGUAUGUAAAGCUCUAUCAGCAGGGAAGAAAGGCCUCGAAAGAGGAGAUGACGGUACCUGAGUAAGAACGCCCCGGCUAACUACGUGCCAGCCGCCGC